GGGGCUAUAGCUCAGUUGGGAGAGCGCCUGGAUCGCACCCAGGAGGUCGCCGGUUCGAGUCCGGCUAGCUCCACUA
rnacentral:tRNA from 1 species